rnacentral:tRNA from 1 species
ACCUCUAUUGCCUAGCCUACCAGGUAUGGCCUGGGGUCAGUAACCCCAAUCUUCAGCCAUACCAGGAGGUCCUGAGUUCAAUCCCCAGUGGGGACA